GGAUAAAUGAGAGAACAAUGUGGGAAGUGAAUUUGUUCCCAAUGGGAAGGACCUAUAAAGUACCUGACAAGCUGUGGAGUAUAAAUAAGAGAUCCUGCAAUGGGGGAGCCUCGGUGAAAUGAAUACAAACUGUGGUGCACUCAGACGAUGGAAUAUCAUGCAGCACUAAAAAGAAGAGAACAAUAGUAUCUGAUUCUUAGCAUCAGUGAGUGAAGGCACGCAAAGUACUGUUAUCAUCAAUGAAUGCCUGGCACUCACCAAUGAAAGCCUGAAAUCUCAACUACUGUAGAUGGUACUCUUCUGUGUGCUAUCAUGUUUAUGUGUAUGCUUCACUCCAGUGUAACACCGUAUUACGUGGAACAUGGUACUUAGAGACUACAGCUAUUCUGAAUUUGAAAUAUCAGCAUGAACUCAGGAUUUGUUUUUUGCUUUCUAAGACAAUGAACAUUUCCUAGCUCUGGUCACUGAAAACUCCUAGAAACAACUGAU